rnacentral:rRNA from 1 species
UGGGGAAUCUUAGACAAUGGGCGCAAGCCUGAUCUAGCCAUGCCGCGUGGGUGAUGAAGGCCUUAGGGUCGUAAAGCCCUUUCGCCGGGGAAGAUAAUGACGGUACCCGGUAAAGAAACC